rnacentral:rRNA from 2 species
AUCAGGUAGGGAUACCCGCUGAACUUAAGCAUAUCAAUAAGCGGAGGAAAAGAAACCAACAGGGAUUGCCCCAGUAACGGCGAGUGAAGCGGCAAGAGCUCAAAUUUGAAAGCUGGCUCCUUCGGGGUCCGCAUUGUAAUUUGUAGAGGAUGCUUCGGGAGCGGUCCCCAUCUAAGUGCCCUGGAACGGGACGUCAUAGAGGGUGAGAAUCCCGUAUGGGAUGGGGUGUCCGCGCCCGUGUGAAGCUCCUUCGACGAGUCGAGUUGUUUGGGAAUGCAGCUCUAAAUGGGUGGUAAAUUUCAUCUAAAGCUAAAUAUUGGCCGGAGACCGAUAGCGCACAAGUAGAGUGAUCGAAAGAUGAAAAGCACUUUGAAAAGAGAGUUAAAAAGCACGUGAAAUUGUUGAAAGGGAAGCGCUUGCGACCAGACUCGCUCGCGGGGUUCAGCCGGCAUUCGUGCCGGUGUACUUCCCCGCGGGCGGGCCAGCGUCGGUUUGGGCGGUCGGUCAAAGGCCCUCGGAAGGUAACGCCCCUAGGGGCGUCUUAUAGCCGAGGGUGCAAUGCGACCUGCCUAGACCGAGGAACGCGCUUCGGCUCGGACGCUGGCAUAAUGGUCGUAAACGACC